rnacentral:lncRNA from 1 species
CAGAAUCAGUAGCACCACAAGCAGAAUCAUCAGUAUCACAGGUAGAAUCAGUAACAUCACGAGGAGUAUCGCAGGCAGAAUUCAGCAGGCAGCAGUAGAAUGGUGUUUAAAGGCGUUACCCACUGCAACACUAAUUGUAGGAUCAGGAUCUGCAGCAAUAGCAGCAGCAGCAUCACAAACAGGAACUAAGAAGCAUCACAACCAGAAUCAGUUAGCACCACAAAGCAGAAUUGUUAGUAUCAGGAGGAGUCAUCACAAUCAGAAUCAGUUAGCACCACAAGCAGAAUCAUCAGUAUCACAGGUAGAAUCAGUAACAUCACGAGGAGUAUCGCAGGCAGAAUCAGCAGCAACACAAGCAGAAUUGGCAGUAUCAGGAGAAGCAUCACAAUCAGAAUCAGUAGCACCACAAGCAGAAUCAUCAGUAUCACAGGCAGAAUCAGUAACAUCAGGAGGAGUAUCACAGGCAGAAUCAGCAGCAUCACAAGCAGAAUCGGCAGCAUCAGGAGGAACAUCACAAUCAGAAUCAGUAGCACCACAAGCAGAAUCAUUAGCAUCAGGAGGAGCAUCACAAGCAGAAAUGGCAGCAUCAGGACGAACAUCACAAUCAGAAUCAGUAACACCACAAGCAGAAUCAUCAGCAUUAGGAGGAGCAGCACAGUCAGAAUCAGCAGCAUCAGGAGGAGCAGCACAGUCAGAAUCAUCAGAAUCAGGAGGAGCAUCACAAGCAGAAUCAUCAGCAUUAGGAGGAGCAGCACAGUCAGGAUCAGCAGCAUCAGGAGGAGCAGGACAGUCAGAAUCAGCAGAAUCAGGAGGAUCAUCACAAGCAGAAUCAGCAGCAACACAUGAAGAAUUGGCAGGAUCAGGAGGUACAUCACAACCAGAAUCAGUAGCAUCACAAGCAAAAUCAACAGCACCAAGAGAAGCAUAG